rnacentral:rRNA from 1 species
CGUGCACGCUGGCGGUAGGCCUAACACAUGCAAGUCGAACGGCAGCACAGUAAGAGCUUGCUCUUACGGGUGGCGAGUGGCGGACGGGUGAGGAAUACAUCGGAAUCUACUUUUUCGUGGGGGAUAACGUAGGGAAACUUACGCUAAUACCGCAUACGACCUACGGGUGAAAGCAGGGGAUCUUCUGACCUUGCGCGAUUGAAUGAGCCGAUGUCGGAUUAGCUAGUUGGCGGGGUAAAGGCCCACCAAGGCGACGAUCCGUAGCUGGUCUGAGAGGAUGGUCAGCCACACUGGAACUGAGACACGGUCCCGACUCCUACGGGAGGCAGCAGUGGGGAAUAUUGGGCAAUGGGCGCAAGCCUGAUCCAGCCAUACCGCGUGGGUGAAGAAGGCCUUCCGGUUGUAAAGCCCUUUUGUUGGGAAAGAAAAGCAGCAGGUUAAUACCCCGCUGUUCUGACGGUACCCAAAGAAUAAGCACCGGCUAACUUCGUG